CGUUAAAGCAGGAGGAAGGUGGGGGAUGACGUCAAGUCUUCAUGGCCNUAAUAUCCAGGGGUACACAGGUACAAACAAUGGGAGUCACAGUGAGAUGCCAAGUCGCAAGAUGGAGCAAAUUUCCUAAAAGCUCUCUAAGUUCAGAUUGCAGUNUGCAANUCGACNGCAUGAAGGUGGAAUCGCUAGUAAUCGCGGAUCAGCAUGCCGCGGUGAAUACGUUUCCCGGGCUUUGUACACACCGCCCGUCACACCAUGAAAGUCGGCNG
rnacentral:rRNA from 1 species